GUCAUGGCGCUUGCAGCUCCUCGGCUCUGUCGCUCACACGUCGGACUCUCCGCUUCGCGGGACACUGGACUCUGCAACCUAAAGAGAUUUUGUUGCCACCCCACGUGGCACAACUCCAAAAGAUUGGACUUCUGAUGCAGCGAUUUGAUUUCAGACCGUGGUUGCAAUCAAGCAGACUUCAGUCAAGAUAUUUUGCCUGCCUUGACUGCCUCUACAACAUCUCAGGACUCUUUCCUCAUUGCAGUAACAGUAACUUGAGCCACCAUCCCCUCUCAACCCAUAGGAAUAUACCGCUGUUUAUUUCACAACUGCUACAUACAUUUGGGAAGUCCAAGCCCAGCUUCUCCUUCACACUCGUCCAUUCAGACUCUUCCAUAUUAGAAACUGUAAGCAGAUACAUGCGUUGUUAAGGCAAAUCCAUUUAAAUAGAUUGGGCAAAAUGGAGGUUUUGUGGUUACAACAACAGCAAAUAUAUGACACAUUGUUUUGACAUCCCUACAGCAAAAUGCGAUUACAGCAGAUUCCAUCGAAGGUUAUUCUCAUUUAAGGUUGAUUUGUCAAUUGUUUGAUUCCAUUAUUACAUCUCUCACACUGCUCUGCCUCCCCUCCACAAAAGGACUGUUUGCCUUGACCUGGGAAAGGGGAAGAGGGGGAAGGGGGAAGAGCAGCCCCAGAGAGGAAACUCCACACGGAACACUCCCUCCCUCCCUCUCUCUUACUCCCUUCCCUUCCUCCGAUUGGCUCCUGAGUCCAAAAACCCGGGAUGAGCAGUAUUUCGCCAAAUGGCCCGUGAUGAAGGUUCUGGGACUGAAGAGGCCAGGACAAACAGCUAGGGUCUUUUCAGCGGAGGACAAAUGGUAGAGGUUAAUGGCUGGGGGCGAAACCCUGGGGGCAAACAAGGGGCGGUGAAGGGUACAAGGCAAACAGUCCCACUCCAUGCAUCACUGACCUUUCCACCCAGCACAUUGAAUUCCUGGACAUCCCAGCAGCUUUGGAACUGCAGAGGGCCUGUCCUGAUUGCAGUUGGUCUUUCCAUGCUGGGAAUGGAAUGCUUCCCAUUUCUAUUGAAUCAGAGGUUAAGGCUGAAGCUGGCUAAUCUGAAAUAGUGUUCCUAGUAUGGCUUCCUUGCUGACCAACCUGAAGUCCUUGUUUUACAGCAGAUGAGGCUUAGGUCCUAUCCACGCCUACUAAUUAAAAGCUGGAUAAAGCUUAGCUCCAUUGCCUUUGUAGCUUCAUGGCAGACAAAUUCAAUUAUUAGGAUCUUUCCAAUAUGGAAAUAUAUGAUCCAUUGCCUUUACAUCUGUCAUACAUUGCAGUUUAUAGAUGAUUCCCUAUUUUAUUUGAUAGCAGUGUUCCAAUAUUUAAGGGGUUGCCACAAAGAAGAGGGAGUCAGCCCAUUCUCCAAAGCACCUGAA